rnacentral:rRNA from 1 species
GUGAAUCAUCGAAUCUUUGAACGCACCUUGCGCUCCUUGGUAUUCCUCGGAGCAUGCCUGUUUGAGUAUCAUGAAAUUCUCAAAAUAAAUCUUUUGUUAAUUCAAUUGGUUUCAUUUUGGACUUGGAGGUCUUGCAGAUUCACGUCUGCUCCUCUUAAAUAUAUUAGCUGGAUCCCUGUGAGCUCGGUUCCACUCGGCGUGAUAAGUAUCAUUCGCUGAGGACACUGUAAAAAGUGGCCAGGGUUGCUGUAGAACCGCUUCUAGUAGUCUAUUAAAUUUAGACAAUCUAUUUAUGAUCUGAUCUCAAUCGGUAGGACUACCGCUAACUUAAGCAU